rnacentral:rRNA from 1 species
GAUGAACGCUGGCGGCGUGCUUAACACAUGCAAGUCGAGCGAAGCGAUUUUAAGGAAGCCUUCGGGUGGAAUUAAAAUUGACUUAGCGGCGGACGGGUGAGUAACGCGUGGGUAACCUGCCUCAUACAGGGGGAUAACAGUUAGAAAUGACUGCUAAUACCGCAUAAGCGCACAGUGCUGCAUAGCACAGUGUGAAAAACUCCGGUGGUAUGAGAUGGACCCGCGUCUGAUUAGGUAGUUGGUGAGGUAACGGCCCACCAAGCCGACGAUCAGUAGCCGACCUGAGAGGGUGGCCGGCCACAUUGGGACUGAGACACGGCCCAAACUCCUACGGGAGGCAGCAGUGGGGAAUAUUGGACAAUGGGGGAAACCCUGAUCCAGCGACGCCGCGUGACUGAAGAAGCCCUUCGGGGUGUAAAGCUCUUUCGACGGGAACGAUUAUGACGGUACCCGGAGAAGAAGCUGCGGCUAACUACGUGCCAGCCGCCGCCGUAA